UUGCAGCCAGUUAAGCCGACUGUGCUUUUUUCCCCAUGGGGGCCCGGUGCGCAGCGGCUGCAAACAGCAGCCUCCUCGGUAGCGUAUGCAGCCUGUUGCCUGUAUGGGUUGCCCUGAGGCACCUUGGAGACAGCC
ensembl:snoRNA SNORA70 Small nucleolar RNA SNORA70